CUACAAGGGUAUCUAAUCCUGUUUGCUCCCCACGCUUUCGUGCCUCAGCGUCAGUGUUGAUCCAGAUGGCCGCCUUCGCCACUGAUGUUCCUCCCGAUCUCUACGCAUUUCACCGCUACACCGGGAAUUCCACCAUCCUCUAUCACACUCUAGCGAGCCAGUAUCCACUGCCAUUCCCAGGUUGAGCCCGGGGAUUUCACAGCAGACUUAACUCACCGCCUACGCACGCUUUACGCCCAGUAAUUCCGAUUAACGCUUGCACCCUUCGUAUUACCGCGGCUGCUGGCAC
rnacentral:rRNA from 1 species